rnacentral:rRNA from 1 species
CCUACGGGUGGCAGCAGUAGGGAAUUUUCGGCAAUGGGGGGAACCCUGACCGAGCAACGCCGCGUGAGGGAAGAAUGAAUUCGUUCUGUAAACUUCUGUUAUAAAGGAAGAAAGACGGAUGGAGGAAAUGUCAUCCGAGUGACGGUACUUUAUGAGAAAGCCACGGCUAACUACGUGCCAGCAGCCGCGGUAAUACGUAGGUGGCAAGCGUUAUCCGGAAUUAUUGGGCGAAAAGAGGGAGCAGGCGGCAGCAAAGCUCUGUGGUGAAAGACUGAAGCUAACCUUCAGUAAGCCAUAGAAACCGGGCAGCUAGAGUGCAGUAGAGGCUAGUGGAAUUCCAGGUGUAGCGGUGAAAUGCGUAGAUAUAUGGAGGAACCCCAGUGGCGAAGGCGACGAUCUGGCCUGCAACUGACGCUCAGUCCCGAAAGCGCGGGGAGCAAAUAGGAUUAGAUACCCCUGUAGUC